rnacentral:lncRNA from 1 species
ACUACAGUGGAAGGCACAAUAUGUUAAAUUUGUUGAAAAUGCUGAAAAUUAUAUCAUUAUUGAUUAUGUUUAGUGUUCAUUAAAGAUUCAGAGACUUUGUUCUCUACGGGUGCUGUAAACUGGCACCCUGCUUUUACAGUAGUAACAACAAUGAUAU